rnacentral:rRNA from 1 species
UACGUAGGGUGCAAGCGUUGUCCGGAAUUAUUGGGCGUAAAGAGCUUGUAGGCGGUUUGUCGCGUCUGCUGUGAAAUUUCGGGGCUCAACCCCCGAACUUGCAGUGGGUACGGGCAGACUAGAGUGUGGCAGGGGAGACUGGAAUUCCUGGUGUAGCGGUGAAAUGCGCAGAUAUCAGGAGGAACACCGGUGGCGAAGGCGGGUCUCUGGGCCGAUACUGACGUUGAGGAGCGAAAGCGUGGGGAGCGAACAGG